CAGGUCACUCCUACGGGAGGCAGCAGUGGGGAAUUUUGCACAAUGGGGGAAACCCUGAUGCAGCGACGCCGCGUGAGCGAUGAAGCCCUUCGGGGUGUAAAGCUCUUUCGGCAGGGAAGAUGAUGACGGUACCUGCAGAAGCAGCUGCGGCUAACUACGUGCCAGCAGCCGCGGUAAUACGUAGGCAGCAAGCGUUGUUCGGAGUUACUGGGCGUAAAGAGUGUGUAGGCGGUGCUCUAAGUUUGGUGUGAAAUCUCCCGGCUUAACUGGGAGGGUGCGCCGAAAACUGGAGUGCUCGAGUAUGGGAGAGGUAAGCGGAAUUCCUGGUGUAGCGGUGAAAUGCGUAGAUAUCAGGAGGAACACCUGUGGUGUAGACAGCUUACUGGACCAUCACUGACGCUGAGACACGAAAGCGUGGGUAGCAAACAGGAUUAGAUACCCUGGUAGUCCACGCCCUAAACGAUGCAUAUUUGGUGUGGGUCAUUCAGUUGAUCCGUGCCGGAGCUAACGCGUUAAAUAUGCCGCCUGGGGAGUACAGUCGCAAGGCUGAAACUUAAAGGAAUUGACG
rnacentral:rRNA from 1 species